AUGAAGUAGUCAGUUGUUGAAGCUGACACGACAGUGCCCAGGGAGCCAGCAAAUUGGCAAGCGGAUUGGCUAACCAAGUUCUUGCUCUUUGCUGGUGUGACAAUUUGGAAACGAACAGCGACGGGAUGACGAACAAACUUUCUU